rnacentral:rRNA from 1 species
UACGUAGGGUGCGAGCGUUGUCCGGAAUUAUUGGGCGUAAAGAGCUCGUAGGCGGUGUGUCGCGUCGGCCGUGAAAACCUGCAGCUUAACUGUGGGCUUGCGGUCGAUACGGGCAUCACUGGAGUUCGGCAGGGGAGACUGGAAUUCCUGGUGUAGCGGUGAAAUGCGCAGAUAUCAGGAGGAACACCGGUGGCGAAGGCGGGUCUCUGGGACGGCACUGACGCUGAGACGCGAAAGCGUGGGGAGCGAACAGG